rnacentral:lncRNA from 1 species
AUGCCAGCCAGCUUUCGCUUUUCAGAUGCAGAGAGCUUGGGGCUCUCGGAACCUCGAGCACAGGUGGUUCAUGGACUGUCUGACUAUGCAAGGCUCCCACGUAGGAUGGCGACAUCUGUUUCUCUAACCGUGAGAGCUAGGAUGUGCUCUCGAUUACCCCCAACCAUGACCAGGAACAGUCAAGGGGGAGCGCCAAGGGGCAUGCUGGAUUUGACUGCAUCUUUGAUCUCCCUGGACCAGUGA